CAAGUCGAGCGGACAGAUGGGAGCUUGCUCCCUGAUGUUAGCGGCGGACGGGUGAGUAACACGUGGGUAACCUGCCUGUAAGACUGGGAUAACUCCGGGAAACCGGGGCUAAUACCGGAUGGUUGUUUGAACCGCAUGGUUCAGACAUAAAAGGUGGCUUCGGCUACCACUUACAGAUGGACCCGCGGCGCAUUAGCUAGUUGGUGAGGUAACGGCUCACCAAGGCAACGAUGCGUAGCCGACCUGAGAGGGUGAUCGGCCACACUGGGACUGAGACACGGCCCAGACUCCUACGGGAGGCAGCAGUAGGGAAUCUUCCGCAAUGGACGAAAGUCUGACGGAGCAACGCCGCGUGAGUGAUGAAGGUUUUCGGAUCGUAAAGCUCUGUUGUUAGGGAAGAACAAGUGCCGUUCAAAUAGGGCGGCACCUUGACGGUACCUAACCAGAAAGCCACGGCUAACUACGUGCCAGCAGCCGCGGUAAUACGUAGGUGGCAAGCGUUGUCCGGAAUUAUUGGGCGUAAAGGGCUCGCAGGCGGUUUCUUAAGUCUGAUGUGAAAGCCCCCGGCUCAACCGGGGAGGGUCAUUGGAAACUGGGGAACUUGAGUGCAGAAGAGGAGAGUGGAAUUCCACGUGUAGCGGUGAAAUGCGUAGAGAUGUGGAGGAACACCAGUGGCGAAGGCGACUCUCUGGUCUGUAACUGACGCUGAGGAGCGAAAGCGUGGGGAGCGAACAGGAUUAGAUACCCUGGUAGUCCACGCCGUAAACGAUGAGUGCUAAGUGUUAGGGGGUUUCCGCCCCUUAGUGCUGCAGCUAACGCAUUAAGCACUCCGCCUGGGGAGUACGGUCGCAAGACUGAAACUCAAAGGAAUUGAC
rnacentral:rRNA from 1 species